AAGAUGCAGUUUUUCAAUCACAUGAACAAAUCAGUGUCUCAGAGGGAGGACUCUACAGCUGCAGAGGAGGAAGAGGAGAACCAGUUUACUACACAGAGGACAGUGACACAUUAAGGAUUGACAAAAUUGUGUCAAACAGGCCUGUUGUGACUCUGUAUCCAAACUGGUCUGAGAUAUACAGAGGAGAGACGAUCACUGUCAGAUGUGAGAUCCAUGGAGGAGACACUGAGUGGGAUUAUGAGUGGGAAACAAACAGCACCAUAAAACCUCCAAAUCAAACUGAAUACAGGAUUAGAUCUGCUUCAUCAUCCAACAGUGGAAACUAUCGCUGUAAGGGCAGAAUGAAAAGUUCACAGUAUAACACAACAGAGUGGAGUGAUUCAGUCACACUGACAGUUUCUGACAAUAAACCCCGUCCUGUCCUCACUGUGUCUCCA